AAGUCGUAACAAGGUAACCGUAGGUGAACCUGCGGUUGGAUCAUUAACAAAUCCACAAAGAACUAGCCCGAAAGGGUUAGUUCUUUUACACACCUUUGUGAACUUGUAAUUGUCUUUGGUGGGUUAAAAUGUCGCUUAUGCGGCAGGUAGCAAUACCACCCACCCUUGUUAAACUACAUACUUUAAAGUCGUCAUGUUUUCCUUAUUUUAAAUAAGAAACAACUUUUGACAACGGAUCUCUUGGUUCUCGCAUCGAAGAACGCAGC
rnacentral:misc_RNA from 1 species